rnacentral:snoRNA from 1 species
CUGCAGCCAAUUAAGCCGACUGAGUUCCUUUCCUCAUGGGGGCCCAGUGUGCAAUGGCUGCAAACAGCAGCUUCCCUGGUAGUGAUACAGCCUGUUUGUUGUAUGGGUUGCUCUAAGGGACCUUGGAGACAAAC